UACGAAGGGGGCUAGCGUUGCUCGGAAUUACUGGGCGUAAAGCGCACGUAGGCGGCUUUCUAAGUCGGGGGUGAAAUCCUGGAGCUCAACUCCAGAACUGCCUUCGAUACUGGAAAGCUCGAGUCCGGGAGAGGUGAGUGGAAUUCCCAGUGUAGCGGUGAAAUGCGUAGAUAUUGGGAGGAACACCAGUGGCGAAGGCGGCUCACUGGACCGGUUCUGACGCUGAGGCGCGAAAGCGUGGGUAGCAAACAGG
rnacentral:rRNA from 1 species